rnacentral:rRNA from 1 species
CCUACGGGAGGCAGCAGUAAGGAAUCUUCCACAAUGGACGAAAGUCUGAUGGAGCAACGCCGCGUGCAGGAUGAAGGCUUUCGGGUCGUAAACUGCUUUUAUAUGGGAAGAUUAUGACGGUACCAUAUGAAUAAGGACCGGCUAACUACGUGCCAGCAGCCGCGGUAAUACGUAGGGUCCAAGCGAUAUCCGGAAUUACUGGGCGUAAAGCGUGUGUAGGUGGAUUAAUAAGUGUGAUGCGAAAUCCGGCGGCUCAACCGUUUGGACUGUGUCGCAUACUGUUAGUCUAGAGGACGGCAGAGGUAAGUGGAAUUACGGGUGUAGCAGUGAAAUGCGUAGAUAUCCGUAGGAACACCAAUGGCGAAGGCAGCUUACUGGGCCACACCUGACACUGAGACACGAAAGCGUGGGGAGCGAACAGGAUUAGAUACCCUGGUAGUCCACGCCGUAAACCGAUGCAUACUAUUAGUAUGGGGUAUCGACCCCCUGUGCUGAGAAGCUAACGCGAUAAGUAUGCCGCCGUGGGAGGUACGAGCGCGACGACGUUAAACCUAACAAAUAGAAGUUAGUACGGCGUGAGACGUGCCGACGGACGACGACGACGGGAGGAGG